CCUUAUCCAAUUCACUUAAUCCUCUGGGAAAUGGUCAGAAGCUCAGAGUACUUUUCCAUCUGGAAAAGUCACGGGGGAGAAGGCCUGUGCUCCUGUAGCUGACAAGGAAUUUGGCUGGCCUCCCUCUCUUUGCUGAUAACUGCCCAGGCAUGGGGUGAGAAUCAUCUCCUGCUCAUACCCUCAGCUUUAUCCUUUCUACUUCGGGUUACUCUCACAGAUCCAGAAGGUGAUGGGAGCCAUAACAGGAGAACUCAGUAGAGGGAAGCCAAGCGAGAGAUUGGCCUCAGCUUUGGUGUUGAUUGAAAGAGAGAAGGCAAAAGACUCUGAGAGUCAUGGCGUGCAUGGACCAUUGGGCACCCUGGAGACCAUAAUGUUAGUCUAACGGAUGCCUCUUCUGCUUUCCCCGGUAUUUUUUUUUUUUUUUUUUUUUUUUUUUUUUGCUUUCCCCGGGAUUGAGAAGUCAUGGGCAACAGCCCUGAGAACAAUUGUCUUGGAGGAGGGAGGAAGAGACGAGGCUGAACACUGCCGUGCAGGGAAGGGAGCCAUUUUUAAAGCCCUUCUGAAAUGUUCACUUGUACACUCAAGAUCCCAAUUGUUGUGGAGCUUCAAGCAGGUGAAAACAUGAGAUGAAAGGAAAUGAAGUGGCUGCUGACAGACUGGAGAACAUGGCUUAAUCAGCAGCUCGAAUCGAUGAGUCCAAGGCUGGCAGCCCCCAGCAAAAAUCAAUGGGGGAAAAGGACUGCUGGCCCAGAUUCCUCCUGUAUUUGUAUCUGCCCCGAGACCACCCAGAACUCUUCCUAUGCCAUGUGCAUUUUGCCCCAAAUGAUAACGAAGGCUGUAACUUAGCUGUCCCCUGAAAACUUCCUGGAAAUCUAGCCUCCUACCCCGCAUCAAUAAAGAUAGGCCAACUGUUGUAGCA
rnacentral:lncRNA from 12 species